rnacentral:rRNA from 1 species
GACGAACGCUGGCGGCGUGCUUAACACAUGCCAGUCGAACGGAAAGGCCCUGCUUUUGUGGGGUGCUCGAGUGGCGAACGGGUGAGUAACACGUGAGUAACCUGCCCUUGACUUUGGGAUAACUUCAGGAAACUGGGGCUAAUACCGGAUAGGAGCUCCUGCUGCAUGGUGGGGGUUGGAAAGUUUCGGCGGUUGGGGAUAGACUCGCGGCUUAUCAGCUUGUUGGUGGGGUAGUGGCUUACCAAGGCUUUGACGGGUAGCCGGCCUGAGAGGGUGACCGGCCACAUUGGGACUGAGAUACGGCCCAGACUCCUACGGGAGGCAGCAGUGGGGAAUAUUGCACAAUGGGCGGAAGCCUGAUGCAGCAACGCCGCGUGCGGGAUGACGGCCUUCGGGUUGUAAACCGCUUUCGCCUGUGACGAAGCGUGAGUGGCGGUAAUGGGUAAAGAAGCACCGGCUAACUACGUG